GUUUUUAUUUUUUUUAAAUUUUACAAUCGUAUACAACACAUAUAUAUUUAUAACCUUAACACGUAAAAAUGCGUUUGUACAAGUCAUUCCGGAAGGGAUUUAGGACGCGUAUAAUAACAUAAUAAUCAUAAUGCAUACGCGUAUUAAAAAACAAAAAACAGAAAAAAAAAAAAAAAAAAAAAAAAAAAAAAAAAAAAAAAACGGUAUAAAUAUAAGUGGCGUUGAGACUCGAUUUUUUUGCCGUCCUCUUCCGUUUUUUUUUUUUUUUUUUUUUUAAAUUUUUUUUUUUUUUUUUUUAAAUUAUUAUUAUUAUUAUUUUUUUUUUUUUUGUUUUUUGUUUUGAUUCUUUACACAAUAAUAACGGCCGGGCGACUGGUCGAUAUGUGGGGCGGGGUAGAGGGCUGGUAUACAGGGAAAACAAUUUUCAAUAUUAUACAACGACGACUGGGAAAUAAUAGUUUUAAUAAUAAAAACAGGAUAAUAGUAUUAUUAUUAUACACGAUAUUUUUAUAAUAUAAUACACAGUUAAUAAUCAAUAUAAUUUACAAUAAUUUAUAAUAUAAUUGUAACUAAAAAAACUUAUUGCACUCGCGUCGUAUAUUUAUUAUUAUUAUGUUAUAGGUUGUAAAUGUACAGAUAUGCCAAAAACGUUCCACCGCGUGCCGUUUUUUUUUUUUUUUUUUUUUUUUUUUUCUCAAUAAAUUAAAUUAUACAAUAAUAAUUGUUACGUUAAACAUAAAUGUAUACAAUAUUGUAUUACUCGUUACUAAAAUACACAUAAUUAUAAUACAUACGUAUUGUCUAACGCUCGUCUAUUAAUUACUAUUAUUAUUUUUAAACUACACUAGAAUAAUCGUUACUAUAAGAGUUUAGUAAACAUGCGUACAUAUAUGUAUAUAUACAUUUUUUUUAAAUAUUAUUUUACACGACAAUAAUAUUUUUUUAUACAACGUUAUUUAUUUUUUUUUUUCAUUUUUUAUUAUUAUAUAAUGUAUACUUUGACUAGAUUCAGUUAUAUAUUUUGCGUUAAAACACGCGGAAUAUACACGCGCAGGUAAUAUCUAAUAACAAGUAACGGACCCGUGCCGCGGGGUCGGUUAAAAUAUUUAUUUUUCAUUUUUUUUUUUUUUUUUUUUUUUUUUUUUUUUUUUACGAAGAUCGACACAUUAUUGUUAUCGGUGUACUAAAUUCGCGUGCGGGUCCCUGCAACAUUGAAACCGGAGAACUGUGCAACAUUGAAACCGGAGAACUGCGCGAUUGUCUCCGGCACGUAGCCAGUUUUUUUUUUUGGGGGGGGGGGGUGGUCCAAACAUAAAAUGUACCACGAGCUACCGAUAAUUGUACGAAUAAUACGAUUUUUCGGCGGGAAGCUUAAAUUUCGGAGGCGGGAGGUCAAGGGGUCGUUUUUUUUUUUCACCCGAGUUAUGACGGGAAUCGUGAAAAUGUUAAUUUACUCGCGGCAUUGAAUAAGUUAUUUUCUACCCGCUUAAAAUCUAAAGAAAUAGGAACAAAAUUACAAAUUUUAAAGGCGUUAAAAAACGACGUAAUAAACGAACGUAUUAACUACGUAACACACGCGUUAUUCAGUCCGUACGACGUUAUCAGUUUAUCACAGUAUAAUUAUGCGUCAUUCCGUAAAUCCGACAUUAAAUAAAAACGAAUUAUUAAAAUCGGUAUGGCUCAAGGAAAAAAAAAAAAAAAAAUAUAUGUGUAUAUUAAGAUAAGAACCGGAACCGAUUGUUGCGAACCCGAGCAUCGGCGCGUCCUUUACAUCGUUCGUUUUCCUUAUCCGGCGUACGGGAGGCGAUGGUGAAUUAUCUAGGGGGACGGCCGAAGAAGCGGUAAAAUUUAAACGAUUCGGGGUUAUUGUAGAGGAAAGACGGGGUAAGGAAACUAAAAAAAAAAAAAAAAAAAAAAAAAACAAAGGUUUAAAUAAUACGCGAGUAUCCGAGUAAAUCGUGAGGACGGGGUGGGGGGAAAGGGGCGCGAGAAAUCCUAAGCCCGCCACUGUCGGUAGGUGUGGGAGGUUAAUAUUGCCGUCG
rnacentral:lncRNA from 1 species